GCUUCCAUAGCUCAGCUGGUAGAGUACUUCCAUGGUAAGGAAGAGGUCACCGGUUCAAGACCGGUUGGAAGCU
rnacentral:tRNA from 1 species